rnacentral:lncRNA from 1 species
AUCCAAAAAAGAAAGCCCUCAGGCUCAAGAGACAGCAGCUGCUAUGAUUCUCACUCACUUCUCAGGUCCUAUUGCCACAUCAUCAACAGACAUUAGAACAUGGCCCUAUCCCAGCAUCAGAGGCACAUGUCCCUGGGAAGAGCUGGAGCAGUACUUUUGGAAACUAUUGGAACAUUGUGCUAGAUAUGUGUGUUCUUAUCCUGUUUCAGUUAUCUCUUGCUGUGUACAAAAUACCCCAAGGUUUAAAUAGCUUCAAACAAAAGAUCAUUUAUCAUGACAUUGGGAUUGACAUGAUAGGCUGAAGUUGCUCAUGUGACUGCUUUCAACUGAGAACUAAAACAUUCCAAAUCGGUUCUCUUCCUCCAGGGUAUCUCUCCAUGUAGCCUCUCACCAUGCAGUCAGUAAUCUAGUCUGCACUUCCUUACAGCUUGAAGAUACACUGACUUCCUAGAAGGAAGAAGCAGCAACCUCUGGAGUUGCUAUGACUGGUGCUUAAAAAUCCCAAAAUAGUACUUCUUUGGCAUUCUCUUAGUCAAAGAAAGUCACAGUCCCUGCCCAGAUUCAAUGAGAGGGAAAUGGAUUCUGUCUCCUUUGCUUACAGGGAUGGGAGGAAUUUUUUGUUUUGUGGUACCAGGAUUGGAACUUAGGGCCUCACACAUGUUGGACAAGCACUCUAAGUAAUAUUCCCCAACUUUGAGAUGGGAGGAAUUGUUUGUGGCCAUAUUUGGAGACUAGCUACCACUCUUUCUCCCCUCCAUGACUAGAUGCAUCUCAAGCAUGGACACAGGUUGAGCCAAUCAGACUCUCUCUCGAGAAUCUGAACCUGAAGACAAACUGUGGUUGAAAGGUACUGAAGAUGUUAUGAAUAGUCCUGGGCCAUAAGAUGAUCCAGGGAACAUUUUUCUUCAUAAGGGAGGCAGAAGAAGAACUAUGAGAAGCCAUGAGGCUACACAAGAGUCAAGGAAGAGUCACUUUGGCCUCCCCCACUUUGUUUCUGGGGUUUGGUUUCUAAUUUAAAUGAUAAUCAGAGAUAUUCUUAAAAAAACCCCACUAUAUUUAUUUGGGAAUUGCAGAUCAUCACAAGGGAAAUAUGUGUGCCAUAGUAAACUUUGACCAUACUUGAGGAGAACGAGGCAAAGGGAAACUUUUAAGGUGUAAUGAGACCCAGAAUUGGUGGUACACACCAGUAAUCCCAGCACUAGGAGACUGAGUCAGAAGGCUCACUUGAGUCCAAGAGUUCAACACCAGCCUGGGAAACAUAAGAAAACAUAAUAAUAAUAAAGUCAAAAUUAGAAUUAUAUAUGCCAUUUUGAAACAAUAAUAUUUGACUACAAGGAACAAUAACAAGGGAGACACUGGUCCAAGAUUGAACAGACAGUUGCUGGGCAGACAUCUUUGCAGAAGUAGUUUUGUGUAAGUUUGUGGUGGUCCUUGUGUGAAGUUGUGGUUCUGGCAGAGUCUUUUAUGAUAGUUCUUAUUAUGAAGCCUGCAUGAGAUCCCCUCCUUCCCAGCCUCCUGGUUUUAUUUACUUAUUUUGGUUAGGGCAUUACAAGUUACUUCAUUUUGAUUCUGACAACUUUGACAUAGCUUACUUAGAAUCCUGUUUCUGCCUGUCAGAAGAAUAGCCAUUCUCUUGUCCUAAAUGCAAGUGAAAAACCAUUGGUGACUUUCAGCAGGAGACUGGCAUAAUCUGUUUUGUUUAGUACUGGGGAUUGAACCCAGGGGUGCUUAAUCACUGAACCACAUUCCCCAGCCCUUUUUAAUAUUUUAUUUAGAGAAAGAGUCUCAUUAAGUUGCUUAGGGCCUUACUAAGUUGUUGACGCUGGCCUUAAACUUGCAAUCCUUCUGCUUCAGCUUCCUGAGCUGCUGGGACAUAAUCUAUUUUCUGCUUUCACAUUUUUCCUUUGUAGAUAAUGCUGCGGCAUGGGACCAGUGUAGUGGAAGCAGCGAGAUCUAAUAGGAAGUGGUAGAUGAUACUUGUUAGAGGGGGAAGUGGGCUUAGGUGGAGGUUUCAGGAGAGAUGCCUUGAAAUCUGUUUUGGAGUCAGGGACAUCAACACUUAUUUGAUUAGACAUAAGGAGUGAGGUAAAGAGAAGAAUCAAAGAAGAAUUCAAAAUUUCAGUCUUGAGCAAUUGGUAAAUGGAGAGGCCGAUUUGCUAAGACUCAGAAGCCUAGAGGAGGAGCAGCUUAAAGGAAGAGAUCAGAAUUCUGCUUUGUACGUGUUAACUUUGAUAUGCCUGCUGACAUGUCCAAAAGAACAUUUUCAUUGCCUCUCGGGUUGUACUGUUGUCCCUCUACCCUGGAUUGGAGGCCCCCUCAAGUACUGGGUCUGCCAAGUCCAGGGUAGACCUUCUUAAGCCAUUUAGACAUUCUAAAUUCUAAAAAUAUCAAGGUGCCUUAUUUGAUAUAUAAUUCAAAAUAAACAUAAUAUUAAACAUUGAAAAUCUUAAUUGUUUUCAGGGUGUUUGCCUAGCAUGGGCAAGGUCCUGAGUUCAAUCCCCAGCAGCAAAG